GUGAGGGUUUCUGGGGACCCAAAGGGCGGUGGUAUUGUGUACGGACAAGAGCACAGUACUUCGAUGGAAGCCUGCAUAAUGAGCUGUGUGCCAGCGAAGGAAGGGAGGGCGCACAACGCCACACAGGCUGUACAGGAAAAAGGAUGUGGAUUGCAGUGGUGAAUUUAUAACUCCGAGUACGGGAAGAGAAUGGAAGAUAGCGAACAAAUCCAGUGACGCGAGAAUAUGUUCCACCGCAACAACACUCGUUCCUAUUGUAGUCCUAUCUGUUAAUUAUAGUGUAGAUUUCAAUCAAACCCCUGUACACUUACCACGCGGCCUUGCUGCUUUCCUAAACGUGUUUACGAUUGUAAUUUUGAGGAAAUAAAAUAGAUCAUUACGACCCCAUCUUUCGUAAUGAGCAUUUAUCGCCCUGAGAGCGCACAGACGGUACAAUAGAACACCGCAUAUUGACCAGUUUGGACUGAAAAUUGAGAAUAAACGAUUUUCGUAACAGCCAGACUUUUUCCCCACUAAACCCUAUCGAUCAUUGCUUGUUGAUUUCUGCACCUUAGGAUUUUGAUAAAACCAAGACUGUUAAGCUAUGAGUAUGUCCAAUUAAAAGAGCAGCGUUCGCUGACAUAAUGUGAAUUAUUUGUCUGUCUUUUCUACAUAUGCCGUUAUAGCUGGUAGCUACGUUUGAAAGUGUUACAGAUGUUAGAAUCGUUCACGGCUGCGUCCUUGGGUAAGGAAGUGUGAAAUAAAAAGAGUUGAGGGAUGGGGGAAGGGUACGGGGAAGUCACAAGAAGGCGCAGAAUCUAACGCCUCGGUACGGUGAACUCUCCGCGACCCGGUCACCGCUACAGUUGGAGAGAUUCCUCCACAGAAAGGGAACUGUCACCUCCGUGAUCCAUCGCGCUUUACCUCCAGGUUCUUAUUGAAUAGAUUGUCUGUUUGGCAGAUAGAGCAGAGGAAAUAUGCGGGAAAGGAGUAUGUAAAGCCGCCGAGUCGCCAGGAUUCGAUAACCUAGGAUUACAAGAGGGAGGGCACGGAUUCACGCACAGAAACACACAACCCAACCUCGAAAUGAACUAUUUUCUAAAAGGUUCCGAGUUCACAGCUAAAAGAGCACGUUUGUAACUGUUUAAUGUGACCUUACAGUAGACAGGGAAUUGAACGGGGUAAAUGUGCCACGUAUUUUGUUGGGCAGCUAAAAAGUGUGGUAGUUCGAGUUGAGGGUAAAAAACAAUUUGUCACAAAAUGUCGGCACGGGACAUCAUUCAUUAUGAAACCAAUCCUUGAUGUCAUGCUUACACAACGACGAGCUAAAUCAUCAGAGAAGACUCAUUUUCUAACUUAUUAUGAUCUAAAGGAAUAUGAAAAUAAGAAUCCGUGAAAAAGCCAACGACUUUAAGUGAUAAGUAGAAGAAUAAUGUGAGGAAAAGUUGCUGCGUGCCCCUGGGUUGACCCCAGAGUCAGUGAAGCGAUCGCACUCCAUUCAUCGCCGUAGUCGGGCGACAUUUCGCAAACCCGUUCUGCAGAAAAUCGAAUUUACUUCAGAGACAGCCAUUUCACAAGUCUUUCCUAACCUACCCUACACAACCCGCUGUCGUGACAACUGUCACCGCCACAGACUCAUCAGUUAAAAAAUGAAAGAAGCCGAACUGUCGACGGCAAAACAGAGGGACGGCAAUAAAGCCAUAUAUCAUGUUGUGUUCACGUGGUUUUGACCAUUCUUUCACCUCAGUCGUUUCUCUGGGACUCGCAAUAAACAUGUUAUUAGCCCGGGCUGUGUACAAGUCUCCGUGUUGGUAGAACCUAGCAGUUGGGACAUUUGUGUGACGUUUUGAGGGUAAAGUGACAAGAUGUGACGGUUUGAACGCGAUUGGAAGUCCGCAGCGGGGUUUGAGAGAGCGAUGGCGGAAGGUUUUGCGUCUCGAACAGACCAGUAGCUUCAUUAUUCCGCUGGUCGCGCCGAGAGGACGGGUACCGAUCCCCAACGGCACCGCAGAGGUCGUACUCAGAAGUUUCCUUGGAUGUUUGGAGGACCGGUGAGAAGUGGAUGGCGUGUGUGUGUGGAAAUCGACGGCGAUAUUGAGUCAGGAAUGAAGACGGCGUAAUCCAUCUCAUAGUGAUAACACCUUUCGACCCCGACUUGAUUACAAUUUCUCCGAUCGAUCCGUUCCUUUCCACAACAAUAUUCAUGAAGAAAAAAACUGGUGGUGUGAAAAUAAUUCAUUAGUACACCUGCAGAUACAGUAUUAGAAAAAUCCAACUUUGUAGGCACAGCUUCACAGAUGGUCUUCACGACUCAAAAGCGCCAUUCUAGUAAUAAUACUGCAUGGCAUUUGGCUCAGUGCUUUUUUUUUGCAAGAUGGCCACUCUGGCUGUCUAUCCAGAAAGCCAUUGCGUUUCUACGCUACAUGGUUUUUCCAUAAUGCAUAAUUGCACUGUCAUACAUUUCUUAAUGAAGAUUGGUAACUUAUGUUAGGCUAUAAUGUAUAAGCCUUAUGCUGGCUUUAGAGGACAGAGUUAUGUUACUGGGUGCGUAAGAAAAUUGACUAACUUUGUAACCCAUUGGCCUAACAGUUAUAAAUGUAACGAAAUGGGAACGAAUAUGUGGAAGUGCUCUUUCUAUAGCAACAUGUAUUGUUAGCUUGCCAAACUAUUCGUAGGACGAUGAAAUUUUUAUGAGCCGAUUAUGUUGUUAUGAAUGUUAUUGUAGACCUGUGUAUGUAUUUUCCAUUCUGUUCUAUGUCACGUAUUGAGCCGAAUUUCCUCUCGUGCAAACGUUGAAUUACCCACUUCAUUUUUUCAAUUGGUUGUCAUGUGGGUUUUUCAUAGGAUUGCUUGUCAAAUGAUGAUAUCAUACAAUUGCUUGUCAUGAGAUGUUCCAAUGUAAUAUUAAUAUCAUAGAAACUACAAUACUAUUGGUACUACAAUGGCGCAUAAUCUAUAUAUUUUCCAAGCCAUUGCCUGUGUUGGUUCGCAAGAGAGAUACAGUUUAUAUACGGAAAGAAAUGUUUUUUUUUCUGGUCCUUUUGAAAUGUUUCUCGUUUAAAAAAAUAUGGUUGUGGUUCAAGGAUUGAUUCAGGGAUAAGUCGAUGUUUUCUACUAGUCAAUGUACAAUUUAUUCUGCACUUAGUUGAAACAAAUCGACCAUUGAUUUUGCUACUAACAAUUUAUUGUAGGCCUAGAGGCAUGAGUUUAGUUGUUCUGUUCCUGCAGUGUUAUUUACUCGUAAAAUUGAUGUAACAGUUACCGAGAAAGAACAAACUAUGAUCAAUAAAAAGUAACGAGCAGUUUA